UACGGAGGGUGCGAGCGUUGUCCGGAAUCAUUGGGCGUAAAGGGCGCGUAGGUGGCCCGGUCAGUUCGUGGUGAAAGCGCGGGGCUCAACCCUGCGUCGGCCAUGAAUACUGCCGCGGCUGGAGCACUGUAGAGGCAGGCGGAAUUCCGGGUGUAGCGGUGGAAUGCGUAGAUAUCUGGAGGACACCGGUGGCGAAGGCGGCAUCCUGGACCGGCAUUGACGCUGAGGCGCGAAAGCCAGGG
rnacentral:rRNA from 1 species